GGCAGUGGUAGCUCAGUGGUUAAGACGUUGGCUUCCUGCCCAUAAGGUCAUGAGUUCAAAUCCCAGCACCACCA